rnacentral:rRNA from 1 species
UACGGGGGGGGGCAAGCGUUGUUCGGAAUUACUGGGCGUAAAGGGCUCGUAGGCGGCCAACUAAGUCGGACGUGAAAUCCCCAGCUCAACCUGGGAACUGCGUCCGAUACUGGAUGGCUUGAAUCCGGGAGAGGGAUGCAGAAUUCCAGGUGUAGCGGUGAAAUGCGCAGAUAUCAGGAGGAACACCGGUGGCGAAGGCGGGUCUCUGGGCCGAUACUGACGCUGGAGGAGCGAAAGCGUGGGGAGCGAACAGG